GGAUGCAGUGUCUCAUUCAGAGCAGUAUUCCUGUGUUUUGUUUAUUAGUAAACACUAACACACUUUUGUCCCCCAGAAGGAAAAGUCAUCCAUCCUUUGGAGCUGGUCCUUUGGUGCUGUUUUGAAUGGAUGGUCUCUUACUACAGGGAAGCUUUGCCUGACAAUACAAGAUGUUGUAGCCUGUCAAACCCUGUUUCCUUAAAACAUCCUGAGAAGACUGAAGUAAAAGCACAAUCGAGUUUGGAGUCUUACGUAUUGAAUUCUGAGCUGAAUUUUCUUGUGUGAGUUUUUUUAAUUACUAUCCUGGUGGGAGGAUUUGGGGAAAAAAGGGGGGGAAAUCCCCAUACAUAUUCUGAAAAACCAAAUGCUUUUGUGUAGAAAAAGAGCUGCAGUUUUUUAGCCACUCCUGCUCUUACAGAAGUAUGUAUGGGCUAAUAGUGGAAAUAAUGUCUACACUGUGGUUACAAAACCAAGCUAUUUUAAUUGUUGCUAUUGAGAGACAAGUAUCAGCAUUCUGCAUCUUAAAUCAUCUGGAAAAAUGUAUUCCUUGGCUAUUUUUCCAUUGAAUGAAAUGUUGUUUAAAACAGAGAAAACAGUUCUACUUCCUGAUAUGUUUUUAGUGUGUCUUCAGGGCAUUGCUAUUUAUUUUGCAAGGUCAGAGUAACUUGAAUGCUAUUCAUUUCCCUGAAUUUUUGAAAUAGAGCCUAGCAUCUAUCAAUUAAAGUGACAGAUGGACUUCUGUCUAUUGUAUGCUACAAUCACUGGUAUUUCAGAACUAUUUGCUUCUACAUCAGUUCUCUACUUGGC
rnacentral:lncRNA from 1 species